GACGAACGCUGGCGGCGUGCCUAAUACAUGCAAGUAGAACGCACAGUUUAUACCGUAGCUUGCUACACCAUACACUGUGAGUUGCGAACGGGUGAGUAACGCGUAGGUAACCUGCCUGGUAGCGGGGGAUAACUAUUGGAAACGAUAGCUAAUACCGCAUAAUAUUGAUUAUUGCAUGAUAAUUGAUUGAAAGAUGCUAUUGCAUCACUACCAGAUGGACCUGCGUUGUAUUAGCUAGUAGGUGAGGUAACGGCUCACCUAGGCGACGAUACAUAGCCGACCUGGGAGGGUGAGCGGCCACACUGGGACUGGGACACGGCCCAGACUCCUACGGGAGGCAGCAGUAGGGAAUCUUCGGCAAUGGACGAAAGUCUGACCGAGCAACGCCGCGUGAGUGAAGAAGGUGUUCGGAUCGUAAAGCUCUGUUGUAAGAGAAGAACGGGUGUGAGAGUGGAAAGUUCACACUGUGACGGUAUCUUACCAGAAAGGGACGGCUAACUACGUG
rnacentral:rRNA from 1 species